UGUCGGCGAUGAAUUCGGGACCUUGUCAGUACUAGUUUCUGAUAUGAACACCGAACUAAGAGGAAUACUGAAGGACGAAGCAGCGACUUGUGCAAUUUUUGUGUGUAAACCUUGACCCAUCUCAACACCUCCAUGUGUUACUAGAACAGUCCCAUCAAUGUAGACAUGCACAAGCGCACCAGCCUGGUUCAUGUGCUUAGCAGUGAAG
rnacentral:misc_RNA from 1 species